AAAAAGAGCGGCGUAUCUCACAGAGGCGGAGUUGGAGGUUUUAAUGCACGCUUAUGAAGAGUUUAAGCCAAUAAUAUUAAAAAGAAGCAAUACAGCUGCAUCGGCUAAAGCAAGAGAGUUGGCUUGGCAAAAAAUAACGGACAGAGUAAAUGCGUGUAAUCCUUCUGGAGCCAGAAGAACUUUAAGCCAAGUCAAAAUUAAACACAAAAACAUUCUGCAAAAAGCUAAUAGAAAGAAGACUGAAGCCCGUCUAACUGGCGGGGGCCCACCACCACCUCCCCUCACCCCAUCUGA